rnacentral:rRNA from 1 species
CACGUAGGGGGCGAGCGUUGUCCGGAUUUAUUGGGCGUAAAGAGCUCGUAGGCGGCUCAGUAAGUCAGGUGUGAAAACUCCAGGCUCAACCUGGAGACGCCACCUGAUACUGCUGUGGCUAGAGUCCGGUAGGGGAGCAUGGAAUUCCUGGUGUAGCGGUGAAAUGCGCAGAUAUCAGGAGGAACACCAGUGGCGAAGGCGGCGCUCUGGGCCGGUACUGACACUGAGGAGCGAAAGCGUGGGUAGCAAACAGG